rnacentral:rRNA from 1 species
AAUCUACCUAGUAGAAGGGGAUAGCCCGGGGAAACUCGGAUUAAUACCGUAUACCUCCUUAGGGAGAAAGAGGGCUUAGCUUUGAUGCUCUCGCUAUUAGAUGAGCCUGCGUAAGAUUAGCUUGUUGGUGAGGUAAUGGCUCACCAAGGCGACGAUCUUUAGCUGGUCUGAGAGGACGAUCAGCCACAUUGGGACUGAGACACGGCCCAGACUCCUACGGGAGGCAGCAGUGGGGAAUAUUGGACAAUGGGCGCAAGCCUGAUCCAGCCAUACCGCGUGUGUGAAGAAGGCUUUCGGGUUGUAAAGCACUUUAAGUAAGGAGGAAAAGAUUGUAGUUAAUACCUGCAAUCCGUGACGUUACUUACAGAAUAAGGACCGGCUAAUUCCGUGCCAGCAGCCGCGGUAAUACGGAAGGUCCAAGCGU